rnacentral:rRNA from 1 species
ACACGACUACAUUAGAUACCCGUGUAGUCCCAGCCCUAAACGAUGCGCGUUAGGUGUAUCGGUGACCACGAGUCACCGAGGUGCCGAAGGGAAACCGUGAAACGUGCCGCCUGGGAAGUACGGUCGCAAGGCUGAAACUUAAAGGAAUUGGCGGGGGAGCACAACGACGGGUGGAGCUUGCGGUUUAAUUGGAUUCAACGCCGGAAAUCUUACCGGGACCGACAGCAACAUGAAGGCCAAGCUGAAGACUUUGCCGGAUUAGCUG